rnacentral:rRNA from 1 species
UACGUAGGGUGCGAGCGUUGCCCGGAUUUAUUGGGCGUAAAGGGCGCGUAUGCGGCCACGCACGUCCGUUGUGAAAUCGCCCGGCUCAACUGGGCGGGGUCAGCGGAUACGGUGUGGCUCGAGCAAGCUAGGGGGCAAUGGAAUUCCCGGUGUAGUGGUGGAAUGCGUAGAUAUCGGGAGGAACACCAGUGGCGAAGGCGGUUGCCUGGAGCUUUGCUGACGCUGAGGCGCGAAAGCGUGGGGAGCGAUCCGG